rnacentral:rRNA from 1 species
AUUGAACGCUGGCGGCAUGCUUUACACAUGCAAGUCGAACGGCAGCGCGGGCUUCGGCCUGGCGGCGAGUGGCGAACGGGUGAGUAAUACAUCGGAACGUGCCCAGUAGUGGGGGAUAGCUCGGCGAAAGCCGGAUUAAUACCGCAUACGACCUGAGGGUGAAAGCGGGGGAUCUUCGGACCUCGCGCUAUUGGAGCGGCCGAUGGCAGAUUAGCUAGUUGGUGGGGUAAAGGCCUACCAAGGCGACGAUCUGUAGCUGGUCUGAGAGAACGACCAGCCACACUGGGACUGAGACACGGCCCAGACUCCUACGGGAGGCAGCAGUGGGGAAUUUUGGACAAUGGGCGAAAGCCUGAUCCAGCAAUGCCGCGUGUGUGAUGAAGGCCUUCGGGUUGUAAAGCACUUUUGGCGGGAACGAAAAGGACUGUGCCAAUACCACGGUUCGAUGACGGUACCCGCAGAAUAAGCACCGGCUAACUACGUG